AGCCGGUGCAUAUGGAAUCCAAAUUCAACACCAAUGACCAUGCUCUACAACAGCGCCGUCAACGUAUUCGAUGUCCCGGUGGACAAGGCCCAGGAGAUUAUGGUGUUAGCAAGCAGGGCAUCUGUUUCAAGCCCACCCAGGGCACUUGUAGUGCAGAAACCUGGUUCUCGUGUCUCUGCCAAUGCCGCAAGAGUGCCGGUGCCUGAGCCGAGGCAUGUGUCGGUCAUUUCAAGUCCAAUCCCUGCCGCGUCGCAAGCUCCGACGAUCUUCAAGAGCAUACCGGGCUAUCAAAAUUACAUCCCAGCUCCGACGACAUCUUCAGGCGUAUCAUCAUCAGUUGUUCCACCACCAAGUCAGGCAUCCUCAGCUCAAAGGAUGCAACAAGCAUCUACUGCUGUCGCAACAGCUAUUAAGCCAAUUGCUGUGCAUCAAUCUCAGAAAGCAUCUCUCGCCCGAUUCUUGGAGAAGCGAAAAGAAAGAGUUUCAAGUGUCACGCCAUACCCAUUGUCAAAGAGCCCGAUAGUGAGCAGCGGCAGCUUGGGCAGUGCGAGCACUCCAAGCUGGUUAUCUAGCGCAGACAAUGCUCCACCCGGCAACAACUGCCAGGAGUCUAUGAGCAUGGACAUGUACGAUGGCGCUAGC
rnacentral:rRNA from 1 species